GUGUUGGUGGAAAGGAGAGAUGGUUUGCAUCUCCCUGAUAAGGAUGGUAACGGCCUUCGGGCUUACCUGUUUAUUAGCACAUCUGGCUAAUGCUCCCCACCUAUGAAGGUGGAUCUUAUAGCCCAAUUUCUUU